UACGGAGGGUGCAAGCGUUGUUCGGAAUCAUUGGGCGUAAAGAGCGUGUAGGCGGCCCGGUAAGUCCGCUGUGAAAGUCGGGGGCUCAACCCUCGAGUGCCGGUGGAUACUGUCGGGCUAGAGUGCGGAAGAGGCGAGUGGAAUUCCUGGUGUAGCGGUGAAAUGCGCAGAUAUCAGGAGGAACACCGAUUGCGAAGGCAGCUCGCUGGGACGUAACUGACGCUGAGACGCGAAAGCGUGGGGAGCAAACAGG
rnacentral:rRNA from 1 species